GCAUGGUCUGCGUCUGGAAAGAAUUUCGGUUGGGGAUGGGCUCGCGGCCUAUCAGCUUGUUGGUGAGGUAAUGGCUCACCAAGGCGUCGACGGGUAGCCGGCCUGAGAGGGUGACCGGCCACACUGGGACUGAGACACGGCCCAGACUCCUACGGGAGGCAGCAGUGGGGAAUAUUGCACAAUGGGCGCAAGCCUGAUGCAGCAACGCCGCGUGAGGGAUGACGGCCUUCGGGUUGUAAACCUCUUUUAGCAGGGAAGAAGCGAAAGUGACGGUACCUGCAGAAAAAGCGCCGGCUAACUACGUGCCAGCAGCCGCGGUAAUACGUAGGGCGCAAGCGUUAUCCGGAAUUAUUGGGCGUAAAGAGCUCGUAGGCGGUUUGUCGCGUCUGCUGUGAAAUCCGGAGGCUCAACCUCCGGCCUGCAGUGGGUACGGGCAGACUAGAGUGCGGUAGGGGAGAUUGGAAUUCCUGGUGUAGCGGUGGAAUGCGCAGAUAUCAGGAGGAACACCGAUGGCGAAGGCAGAUCUCUGGGCCGUAACUGACGCUGAGGAGCGAAAGGGUGGGGAGCAAACAGGCUUAGAUACCCUGGUAGUCCACCCCGUAAACGUUGGGAACUAGUUGUGGGGUCCAUUCCACGGAUUCCGUGACGCAGCU
rnacentral:rRNA from 1 species